ACCAACUUCUUGAAUAAAUGAAAGGCACUGCUCCAGAUUUUUUGUUUUUUAAUGAUCUUUAUAUAAUGCCCAGGGUUCCUCCUUUAUUGUAAGAAAAUGUGUACAUAAUUACUUCAAACAUUCAUGUGCUAGAAAAACAUUUUCUCUGACCCAAUACAACUUCCAUGUUCCAACUCAAUCCCCUGCUCACCCCUGCAUGUGUAGCAGAAUACACUGUCCUAGCUCUGCAGAGAACAAAGCAACAUGAGUAUCAUGGUAUAAAUACUGUUUAAGAAUCAGCCUGAGGUCAAGAGUCAUGUCCCCUUUCUUCUCUCCACUGCUGAUACCUUCAUUUUAAGACUACAGAGCCUGCAGAUGGGGUCUGCUAGCCACAGUUCGGAUCUUAAAUGUCCCCCAAAGGCCCCAAGACCUUGAUCCACUCCUGUGGGUGGUCUUGGGAAGUGGCCCAGCUUAUGAGAGAUUGAGGGCUUGUGGAAGAAAGUUAGGUCAUUGGAGUCAUGCAAUUAAAGGGGAUAUUGGGACCCCAGACACUAUUCUUCCUUUCUUUCCUUCCUGGGGGCCAUGAGGUGAGCAGCUUUGUUCCACCACACACUCACCUCCAGGAUGCUCUGCUUCGCUACAGACCCCAAAGCAGUGGGGCCAACCAGCCAUGGACGGAAACUCCCAAACAGUGAGCCAAAAUUGACCUUUAUUCUUUUUGAGUUGAUUAUUUCUUGUAUUUUGUCACUCAAAUGGAAACCUGACUGACACAAUGUCUCCAGAGGAUAGGACAGGGAGCAGAGCAUGUGCCAAUGACGUGCUGAGGUAACUGAGAAGAACAAAAUACUCAUUGAGAGGGUGACGAAGAAUGUGUUCUUAUCCUGAUCCUACAGUUUUAUAAGCACUAAAAGAUCUUGAUUCUGGUGGGUACAGAAAUUUGUAUUUUGAAAUAAAUUAACAGAUGGUUUUGCUGCUCCUUCAGGGUUAAGAUUAACUGCUCUGGGUAAUGUAGAAUGAGAAGGAUAUACUGUGCAAUGUAAUUGAUUUAGGCUCUUUCUUUUCUCUUUUUUUGAAAAAACAUUUCAUAGGACUUGUGCCCCAUGAAACAUCUUUGAAGAAAUACAGACCGUUUCCGAAUAUAUAGCAUUCCCUUGGGCAAAGGAACAGGAAGGGCAUGUUAGCUGAGAUAAACCAUGGUAACGAAUACCUUUGAUUUGGUGGUCAAGAUUCCCGACUUCUCACCAGUCAGGUCAGAGCAGCUGUCGGAAAAAACUUGAUGUCUAUCCAAGAUUUCAGACCCACCCUUAAUGGAGGAGCACCUUAUCAGGGUAUUUCUGGCAAACUGGGUAGAUUGAAAAAAACAUAAGUGAGACUCUAUUUCAGUGCUUUAACACAACAAAGGUUUGUCUCUUUCUCAUGCAAAGCCUCCUGGGGUCAGGCCUUCACUCAGCAAUUGAAGUUGCUUCCAUUCCUGGAUGGAGAUGUACACCAUCUCAGCAUAGGGCUCCUGCAGGGGAGAAGGGAUGGAUGAAGUGUCCCAUUUAUUAGGACCUCAAAGCCAAAGUGAUGCGCAUUCUCACAGCUCAAACUCAUUCCAAGACUCCAGCCCAACUGCAAAGAAACUGGGGAGAUGAGGGCAAGCCGAUGGAAGUUUAGGGAGCAACCAUCAUUGCUACCAAGUUUCCUCAGACCUGCACUUAGCAGGCACCAUUUCAGGAAACUUGACUCGUUGACUAGUGAUGAGGAAGAGCAGGCUUGGAAAUGCUCCCUAACUUACAACAGUGUCACAUCCUGAUAAACUUAGGAUCAAAACUGCAUUUACACCCAGCUUAGCCAACACAGCAGCUCAGCCACCUAGUACACUGUAGAGGUUGGUUCUUCACCUGGUGCCAAGGACCUGUGACUCCCUGCGGCUACCUAGCACCACCGGAGAGGAUAGCACUGCAUAUUGCUUAGGAAAAGAUCAACGCACACAAUUCCAAGUGUGUUUUACGCUGAAUGCAUAUCACUUCUGCACUGUCAUAAAGUGGCAAAUGGAACUUAUACCACUGUCAGUGGGGGACCAUCCGAUUGGAUCCGCAUCGUCCCAGCUCAGGCAGCACAGAAGUGAAAAUACACAGGAGCCCAAUGGUAAUUCUGUAAUUGGAUGGUGUGUAGGAAAACAGAGGCAAAAAAGAAAGGUGAAGAGGGAGAGGAAGAAGAGAGGGAGGAGGAGGAGGAGAAGAAUGAGACACAAAGAGGAAGAAGAGGGAGGAAAGAAAGGCGCGCACACAUGGAGACAACUGGGUCAUUUAGUUCAACUCCAACUUUGCUAUUAUUCUUUUUCCCCUUCAUCUGGCCAGACUGGUGUCUGUUCACAGGAAAUGGAAAGGUAAGUAAGGGUGGCACUGUGACCAAGUGGUCUAAACUUUCCGCACCCCAGGCCAUGAAGGACACACCCAGACUGAGGCCAGCUUGGAGGAAUGACCACCUCAGAAGGUUCUCCGCUUCCCCUUCUCUGGCUGCCUGGCUAGCUUGCUCUAACUUAUUCGGCAAGCUCUGGCAGUUUACUGAUGUUAUUAUCAUUAUUGUUAUUAUUAAUUAUUAUUUAAAAUGCUGGUCAAGACCAGGAGCUCCUAAGAGGCCCUCACCACACCCGCUCCACUCUUGGAGGAGACUCGUUCUUUCUUUCCAAUCUGCUCACUCAGUCCUGAAUAACUUUUCAGAGGGCUCCAGAUACCGCAGUCUGACAGCUACACCAAGGCACUCCGGAUGCGAUGGAAUUGCUCUACGAGCAACCUUGCCAAAGGCCCUUUUCCAUGCACAAAGCUGGCUCUAUCUUUGUAUAUUGAGGGAGCUAAAUCAAUGUUAAAUGCUUGGCUCUUUUCACAGGACAAUGACCAGGACCUAAGCUGCGUCCUUCCUUUUUGAUUGACACUUGAAACACAGCGCGGGAAUCAGCCAGAGGCACUGCUACAAGCCGAAGCCUCUGCUGGGAUAACCACUGGUGACAUCUGCAGAAAGGCCGACAAAAGGCAGUUGAAAGCCGUGUUUGUUGCUUCCCCCCUCAGAUCUCCACGCUUUCAUGGAGCUCCUUACUUGCUUUAAUAUUAUGAUUCAGCACCUGGCUUUUUUGAACCUUGCUUUAAACUUCAAAAGGCGAGAUGGUAUUAACAAACAUGAAACGAAAAAGUGGCGGUAGUUUGAUUUACUGUUGUCGUCUUAUCAAGGGGUUUUUUUGUCACCAGCUGCCACUUUCUGUCAUCUUUGGAACCAUUAUCAUUUCUCUAAAAUCUAAAAGAGUCCACUUAAUAACAGCUUUGAAUACAGGCAGGAUCAGUAACAUACACAGUUCUGGGGCUGACAGGACCAUCAAAUGGAAAAAAAGAUGUUGCCAAAAAAACGAAAAAAACCCCACACAAAUAAGAGCUUUAGUACUUCCUAGUGACCUUGAUUUCAGAAUUAAACAAAUCAAAUCCAAUUCUAUUGUUCCUUUUCAGUUCCAUUUUAGAGUUUCCUUGAGAAGUUCCUUUUUGUUGUUAGACUAGCAGGGAGGAUAAAAAAAAUCUCAAGGCUUUUGGACAAGUUGGAAAAGGAAGCUCCUGCUAUCAUGGGAUGUCGGAAGUGACCUCUGCUAGUGCCAUGGCUCCAUUAAUUACCAGCUCACUUGCACUGAUUUUCUCAUGCUUGGAGCACCCACUUGAUCCUGAUAGCCAGACAAUCACCAACUCUCUCCAAGGAAGAGCUAGCUUGGUUUCUGCUCCUUCCCAAGGACUGGCAGCUCUGAGCUUUCUAACCAAACCCACUGGGCCUCAGGGAAACUUCUCAUUGUAGAUGUUGGAGCCAGUUUCACCAGAGGAGGUGCACUGGUUAAUCCUGCAAUCUGCUAGGAACCUCAGAUCUCUUGGGAACAUGAAGUUCGUCACAGCUGCAAGCAUCCCUUAGGGACCACCUAGUCUAGUGAUUUUGAUUUUCCCAAGGACCUUGGUAAAAACAUCAAUCCCCCUCCAUGAGCUCCUACCCACAUCUUCUGAAUCCACCACUCAGAAGACGUGCUGUAGAUACUUGUAUUUGUAAAAGUUCUCCUAUGUGUCUGAAUUACAAAGAGUUUCGAGAUCAACCUUUACAGAAGGCAUGACAUGAACAUGAAAUUCUGUCACAGCACAGUCAUGGGAGCCCUUCUGAGUCGGCCUCAGAAGACACAGCACUGUCUCCUGCCUUGCCACCCACGGGCUGGCUGUCCUUGGACUCAGCCUUGCAGCCUUUCUGGAAUGAGGUUUCUUCUUUUGCAAAAUGGAAAUAAGAAAGGCUUAUCUACUAACCUGAAAGGGGUGUUCGGAAGACAGCGAGGAGAAAAUAUAUAUGAAACACCUUAUUCAGCUGUGUAUUUUAAAGCACCUGUAGAUGGGUGACCAGAGUUAGCCCAGCCUUUUCGUGCAUGGCCCCACCUCCCUGGCGUGACUUGGGAAAGAGCAUUCUUCAUUGCUUCUGAGGCCCCUGCUGCCCCUCGAGCCUUGCUCCUUAGUGAUUAGAAUUCUCGUUAGAACUUGAGAUUCACUUUGUUGGGUGACCAAAUGAUGAUCUCCAGGCAUCCUUCAACUAGAGUUAGCAUCUUGUAACAAGUAUGGCACUCAGCUAAGCAACAAGGCUGGAGAGCCCAGGAUGAAGGGGGAGAUUUGGUGAAGAGGAAAAAGAGUGAAAUUUCAUUUAGUGUGAGGUAAGACUGAGACUGACCAGGGCUCCAGUCCUGACACCCACUUUGCUCUCUGGGUCUCAGGGGCGAGUUACUCCCCUGUAUUGGCUUGAGCUUGCGCCACUGUUUACUUACUCAUUCACAAGGGCUACUAACAUCUACUCUGUGGUCAGCCCUUUUUGAGUUAGUAAAACAGUUAAAUCCCUAACUGUAUGAAGUUUGCAUUUUAUCAGGGAAGACAGAAUAUAGCAGAGAAACAAAGUGGAGCACAUACCUAGGAAAAAUACUGAAAGGCAUCAUAUAAAUAACUACUGGAGGACAAAAAGAGAGUGAGAAGGAGAGCAAACUCUUUGAGGGGGCCGUUUUGGUUGAAUCUUGAGUGGAGAGAUGCUGUAACCCGAGGGAGAGUCUUGCCAAAGAGAAUUCAAAGGAGAAGGACUAUCAAUGCGAAUUCUUCCUCAACUUUAGGAAAUAAAAAUGGAGUUCAGAUGAAUGAGUUCUAUUUAAGACAGACUUUACAGGCCAGGGUGACAGUCUCGCUGCUGGAUUGGAUGUGGGGGACUAGAGAAAGAGAGGAGUCACAGAUGACUCUGGGGGUCCAUUUGAGAGUAAGGUCCAUGAAGAAUACAGGAUUUAUUUGGGGGCGACAAGAAUUUUGCCUUAACAUAAUACAUGUGCAAAAUGUAACGAGUAGCAAACCUGACAAAUGGAGAGAAGAGCGGCAUGCCAUGCUGAUGAGAUCGUGCCGAGAAAGCUCAGUGCAGAGUCAGAGAUGGAACUCCACAAACUGUACCUCUAUGGGAAAUGAGUAGAAAUGUAGGGAUGGGAUGGUUCUUGACCAAGUAAGAAACUAGACAGUGACGAGGGAGUGGAGCCAGAAUGCCAGGAGAAGGAACCAACGUGACUCAAGAGAAGCAGGAGAGGACUGAACACAUGGCUUGAGUGCUUUACCUUUCUGUGCUUGGUCCCCAUUGUGUGGAGCAAUGAGAACGGAGGAACUAUUUACAAGGGGCCACCAGACGGAAUGUUUCAUUCUGUUAAAGCUGGGCUUUAUUUUCUUCUACAGUGACUAGGUUAGCUGCACAUUAGGGGUCAUGAUGUAGAAAUGCUGGUCUUGGUCCAGGAUGUUGAAAUGAUCUACAGUGGCCGUAAGACCUUCCUUCACUUGAGGCUCAAGACUGGGGAAUGUGAUUUUUCUAAGCAGUGACAAAAUGAAUACUAUUAAAACACACAUGGGGUUUGGUCCUUGGUAGCAUAGUAAUCUGUGCCAAAGGUUUUAUUUAUCAACUUGGUGAAAAAACUGAGCAUAUUAGAGGAUAGUGCUUGUCAUCUACUUCAAUGAGUAUCAAAGGCUGCUGAACUCAGUCUACCAGAAAGAUCUUCUAAACUUGACCUAUCAUGCAUCUCUUCUAAGUUUGAAAACAGCAAAGCAACCCAAAACCCAAGCUGCAGAAAUUCCAUUCCUCUUCCAACUCCAUCCCCACGUUCCCAUGCACACAUUUAUCAGCUCCAUGCAGCACUGUGAUGGAAACGAAGGCUACAGGAAACCUCCCAGUUGAUCAUGCCAAAUGGUAACAACUCCUCAGGAGAGGGCAGUUCUGGUCACUUAUCUGAUGCCACACAGAUGGGCCAAGGUCCAGACUCUACCUUCACAUUCCUGGGCAUGGCUCCCAAACAAACCUGCUAUGGAACCACCUGAGUUUGGGGAUGUAGGGACUUUGGCCUCAACUGGGCAGUGCAGGUGCAUGGAUUUGGAAUGUGGGGUGGUCCUGUAGCCUCUAAGCUUACCAAUCUCCGUGCAAGAUAGAAAAGUUAAUUCCUCGGUCAUACAUGCACAUGUAGGUGCUAAAACCUUCUGCUUCUCAAACAACAUUUGGAGGUGGAGGAAGCAGAGGAGCUCAGCUCAUUUUUACAGGAGACCAGGAGCUUGAGACUUGGCCGGGGUCCUUUGGGACGGUCAGUUGGCCCUUAAUAUAGACUCAAUGAAAGGAGCUAUGGGAAAUGAGGUAAAACAAUGACCAAGUGUGCAAUUCACUAAAACUAAUUUACUUGGGAAACCAAAGGCUUCAGUGUUGUCAGUAGGGAUUGUGAAUUUUUUCCUUCAGCUGCACUCCAAUUAUUAAUUACAUCUUUCUUCCCUUCUAGAUGUAAGAGCCUGAAAGGGCAGGGACUACGUCUAUGUUGCUCUUUCACCCUAUUUCUAGCAUCUAGGAAAGGCCUUGGCACAUUCUUAUUUGAUAUGAAAUAUUUGUUAAAUCAUUGAAACUGUGCUGCUAAAUAGCCUCUGAGAGAGGUUAAUGCUACAGAAUUCUAGAGAAGUAGCCUGAGCUGUCCCAUGAACUGCCAUGUGGAACCAAAGACUACAUGUGACUGGUGUAACACUUGUAACUCAGGUCACAUUUCUUGACUAGUAACCAUGUCACCAUAGGAGCACAGACUCCAUGUGUCUGUUGAGACAAAUGUGUUUGGUCACAGUGUUACAGAAGCUACUGUAAACCAUUCUGAGCCAGGUGACGGAAUGAAACUUCAUCCUUUCCAAUGAUAAGGGAUUCUCUUGAGUGUAUUUGGUAGUGAGAUGUGACCAAUUGCUCGUUAAAUCUUAUUUAUAUCUAUUAGGACAGUGACAAAAAAUGAGAAAAGGAUUCAUGACACUGUCACAAAUCUGCCAAAUGCCAUCCAUACUGUUGUCUGCUGCACAUUUUUAAAUGCAUCAAAUUUUUAGAAGGGCUUUUGUCACCUGAACUAUUAAAUAUGUUGUAUUCAAGCCCAGAAAAUAUUUCCCCUUAUUAACAGCUCCCCGUGAUAUACAAUGAAAGAGAACUUGAUGGUAUGAAUAAUCUAAAACACAAUGACUCUGAAGGCCAGGAAUGGGCUCCUUCUUCAGGUAAGCAGCUUAGUUUCUUUUCCUUGUGAUUCAAAGCAGAUUAGAGGAGGAAGCUUUAGGGGAAAGAAUGAAUUGACCCAGCAUUCCAGAAUUGCCAGAGAUAACUUCUAUAACAACAAACUCACAUGUGGCUAAUACAUGGAGUUGGGGUAGAGAUGGAGGUGGUUACAAACUACAUUCCACAUUGGUUUUACCUGAUUCCUAUUCAACUUCAAUGCCUGAUUCCAAAUAUUCACUGUUGCUUUUACUCUGUUCCAUGGUGAUUCGACCAGUUGAGUGAUUCUUGCCCUGAAAGAGUCUUAUGACCAAUGGUAUUUGUGACUUUCUCUUCAUCAUCCUUUUUGAACAGCACCUAAGGAGAUAGAGUGAAGGCAUGAUAGACAAGACCUAAACCUUGUCCUAAUUGCACCCAGAAAAAGGAGUAUGGUGUUUUGAAGUACAGGUAUUUUGUACGAUGUGAAAUGCUAAAUUUAAGAGUUAUCAAUAUCACCCCAGGCAAAAAGCAGAAGGAAGUACAUAUAAAUCUUUCAAGAGACAGAAGGAGAGACACACACAGAGAAAAAAAGCAUUUUGCCAUAAUGUCCCCUAUCCUGGGUUCAACACAAUGAAACACAAAGGCCCUGCCAUCGGGAGAGCAGAGCAGCUGUGAAGAUUGGCCUGUGAGUCACCGGUACUGAAGUGGAAAUGUCUGUUCAAGUUCAAAGGCAGCAAAGACCUUGGCCAACAUGUGCCCUGGUGAACGCCAAGACAUGGGAUGGCAUCACUGUAAACCAGCAAACCCAAGAAGGUUGGCUAUUUGGAGGAGGGAAGCUAUGGGGACAAACAGAGCUACAUUCCUUCUUUUAAAUAAUGUCUUCAUCCAGGAGUGUAUAUGACCUCAUGGCCUGUGAUGAUGUAUCUGUCUAAUUUAACAAAUUGUGACCUCUCCAGAGAGAGACUGUGGCUUAGGUGAUAAUUGUAAGGUGAUGAAACAUCUUAUAAAUGUGCCCAUUGGCUAUUUGCGCAAAUUCUGAAAGCAGACUAAAAAAACUAGGACUCUUAAGUUGGAAAAGUCAAGAACAUGGAGUACCAUGGAAACAAAUCUACCGGAAUAUAAGGAUCCAAGUAAGAUAAUGUCACACCUGUCCAGAUUCCCAGGAACACAUGGCCCAUUGUCCUUCACGGAAGCAUGAAGCAGCUUCUGGAGGAUGAAUAAUAGGAAAAGACUAAAUAAAAGCCAGAACUUGAAAAUACCGAGAUAGAAAAAAUGUUUGAAAAUUCUUAUGGAGUUUCUUUAACAGAGAAGUUAGGGAGCCUGACUUCUAAGUGCAGGACCCCAGGCAGAAAAGUGUUGUACUCUACACUAACAAACACAUUAUAUCCCUGGCACCAACAGUCACUUCGAUGAUUUGCUGUAUAAACAAGCUAACAGACCUGUACACGUAGGCCACUGUGCUAGGUACUACUUCUAAAGCACCAUUAUUCUAUUCCAGUCAGAGAAGUUUCUUAUGUUCCUAUGUGAAUUCCACGAAGAGGCUGACCCACUCAGUGGUGAGGAAAUAAAGAUGUGAAAGAAGCAAAAUUGGAGGUAAGAAGAAGAAAGAGGGUGAUCCCAGCUGUCCUAAUCUACCUGGAAAUGGCAGCAUUAUCAUAAGUUUGCAUAGUAUCUCGCUUUUACAAAUUACUUGACAGUUAUAAUCUUCCUUUAGCUUCCUAACACCCCAAUAAGAUUAAAGGCAUAUAAUUAAUCCCACCACACAGGUGAAGAAUCAGACCAAGCCCAAGGUCACCUAGUGAAUGAGUGGUCAAGUCAGGUCUACUUUCCAUGUGAUUGUUGUUGGUGUUACCUCCUGGAUUCUGCUGGCUUUAAUCCUUCCCUGUACACAGAUCCAAGAUGGUGCUGUAGUGGAAUAACUCUGUACGUAGUAUGCUGUGUCCCAGUGAAGUAUGGUGCCAUUUGGAUGAAUCGAUGAGCUGCACUGAAGCUGUUAGGAACAGUUGAGAGAUCACAGACAAGAUCACCUGUUUUGGCCACUAACUCUUCAAUUCCCCAAUACUGUGCCCGGGCCCUCCCACCCUUUCCUCCUGCUCUACAGCCCAUGGUGCAUCUCAAAGAACAUUCACACCUACAAAAGAAUCACAGAGCUGUAUGAAGAAGGCUCGGGCAAGUCCAGAACUCCAGGGUAUGUGGCCGUUUUGAACAGGCACUUUUGAUAGUCUCUCCAGUUUAAUUGGAAGAGUGAGAUUUAGAAGCAAGCAAAGUCGGUGGAACAUAGCACUGGAACUCAAAAUGAGUAUGGACCUUCUCUCUAUUUCUUCUCUUCCUGUAGGUCACUGUCACCUGGUGUACAGGCAGGCCAGCUCUCAUCUCAGCUGGCCAGCUCUACCCUAAGUCUGAGUAAGUCUGACAAAAACCACAGUGAAUGCUUCAAAUGGAAGUUUACCUUUCCCAAACUCUCCUUCCUUUUAAAUCGAGACAUUUGUUUAAAUCCCAUCCUUCCUUCAAUUGGAUAGAGACUCUGUGGGCUCUUACCCAGUUUCUAAGAAAGACACAAUACUCUGGACUUAUAGAUCAUGGAAUUUUCUCACAAUUACAUGGGUGGCAUAAUACAGAACUAAAAAUGAAUAUAAAUACUGUAACACAGUACUGGAUAAGGGUAAAGAAACCACAUUCAGAUUAAUAUUGGAAAGCAGUACUUUCGAUUUAUAGAUAACCUGAAAGGGUAAAUUUUUCACAGUAUUUCAGAGGUUCACUUGAGAGUGACUUACUCAAGGAAACCUCUCUUCAGCCUCCUUCUACCCAGAGGCCUUCUGCUGUCGGCCAUCUUGGGUACUCUCAAUGUUAUGUGUCCUGGACAGACACCCCUUUUGUCUGACCAGGCAGCCAUCUUAUCAUGAGACUCUUGGUGGACUUAGUUAUCAUGUUAUAGAUGAGCAAAAAUAGGAAAGGCCAGAGCCUACAGAUGAACAAAGAUUACUGUUUUCUUCAGAAAGCAGCUGGGAUAAAUCCAAGCUCUCCAUUCUCCAUAUGAUCUCUCUCUCUCUCUCUCUCUCUCUCUCUCUCUCUCUCUUUCUCUCUCUCUCUCCCCUUCUCUCCUUCUCUCUCUCUCUCCUCCAGACAAACCAAUUCCCAGUCUCUUCACUCAGAAUUACAGGUUCAGUCGUGGGACUGGUGAGCCUUUUUGAGUGGUUUGUCCAAGGUAGUAAUUUUGUAAUCCACUCUAGAUGAAGUAAGUACAGACCUGGGCUUGCCCCAGCCUCUUUCUCCUCCUUCCAUCCAGAACCAGGUCCCCACUUAGUUGAAAACGCUUUGCAUAUAAACAAACUCCUCUCAAAGACAACUCAACCUUGACAUUUCUUUCUCCUUUUCCAAACUUGCUUCCUUUUAAAACACCUCCCUUGCCUGCCAUGCUCUCACAUGAGGCCCAAUUAUCAGAAUAAUAAUUAACAGGCUCUCAUUAUUUAGGAUCAAACAAUGCCCUCCUAAUGAAGCCAAGAAUAGCCAAUGUGAUCCCUUAAAGCGGGGUGUGAGUUUUCCUUACACCUUGGGGCAUCGAAUCCACUGAAACCAUUAGGCAGCGGGCUGCCCAUAACGGCCGGGAUAACUUUGCGUCAAGGACAGUUAAUAGAUGCCAGAGCACAGACCAAAGUGCUCCAAGCAUGUCAGUCAAGACUAACCGGAGGCAAAAACAUCAAAAUGCAGGUUGGAGUUUUGACAUUCCUGCAGGCUCUGAACGCCUCGCCAGUAAAUUUUUAAAGUCAAUAUCCCCCUUAUGCUCAUGAACACUUUUCUGUCUGAUGAGUAGGACUAAUGUGGCUCUGAUUGAACUGUGACUAAAGUAGGACUUUAAAGACCGCUUUGAAUGUGUGUGGGGCAGAAAGGAUUUUUUUGGUGUGUGUUUUGUGUGUGUGUGUGUUUUCUUUUUCUUCCCCCCUAGAAAUGCCUGUGAUAAUAAUGAAGACAGUGUACACAGAUUAUCACAGGCUGUGUCUUUCGACUUCAAGGUUAUGUGAUUAGAAAAUUAGAAAAGUGACGAGAUUAGAAAAACCGCAGAACAUUUUGAAAGAAAGCUUUUUUACAAAUCAUCUGUGUGCUGGAUUUACACAGAAUCUGACAGAUAGAUCUUCUACUGUUUGGAAAUGGAUAAAUGUAGCAAUGCAAAUAGGAAGAACUGGCUUCAGAGCCCACUCCUGGCACAAGUUCAAAACCCACAUUAAGUACUCUAAUUCGCAUAAAGCCUGUUACGUAUAUAUAUAUAUUUAUAUAUAUAUUUUUAUAUAUAUAUAUAUAUGCUGCAUACACACAUAAGACAAAAUAUAACCACUUUACAAAUAUAAAGGUAAAAAAGCAAAGAGAUUGUUGCUUCUUGCAAUGCAUGACUCUUUAUUUCCAGAUUUGAAAUAAAUCCUUCACCUCUUUGCCCUUUCUCUUCUCAGAUGCUGAGAAUAAUAAUUAGAACAGAUAUUCCAAGCAGGGUCAGAUUUGGAUUUUGGUCGGCAUCCUGUAGUUGACUCAAAGAGUGAACAGCCAUUUGGGGACUCAAGUCACAGCCUUUAAUGAGGGAAAAAAGAAAAUUCCCUUGUAUCAAAAACUGUUGGGUCUAAAGAAAAGUUCCAUCAAAAAAUGAUGAAAGGCGUGGAGGACGUACAGUUCCGGGGUCGGACAGCAACAAGACAGGGUAGAGGCUUGCCUGAGCUUGGGAAACCUUCCCCAGGUCUUUUCUGCACCUAGAAGAUGGAAUAUGACUUUCAUGCCUGGCGAGCGUGAACAUCUAUACCUUAAAGAUACCUUGCAAAGGCACAAGUGAUAUUUGAACCAGGGCGACCUGUACCCUAUUUCAUGGGAACCUUUGAGUAGGUAGCAUCCUGACAUUUUUAGGCUCAACUCAUUGUCACCUGGCUAAAUUCUCCCAGAUAUUAAAAUAUAAAUAGACCAUAAUUACACUUCCGGGUCAGACCUAGAUUUUCCAGACCUAAAGCGGACAUGUCAGUAAGGAUUGGACACGAAAGGCAUCACAUUUAAAGCUUAGAGAUGCCACUGAGCAUGGGAGUUGUCCUUAGUACCUGCUUUUUAAAAUCUGUUACUCAGAACAUUAUCUGAAAUUUUGAGGCUAUUUUGAGAUUUCAUUUAUGUAAAUAAACUCUAAUAAUGGAUCACACGAGUGUUCUGUCUGCUCGGAAGUUUAUCGAAUCACCUUUGAGGAGAGGAGCUGUGUGUUUCACUCAUUCGUUCAACCACUACUUGCUGAGCACCUACUGUGGCCAUGGGGCUGUUUUAAAUCAUUGAGAUGGAUCUGCGGAUAAGACACCCUUACGCAGGCAGCUUUCGUUUCUGGCAGGGAAGACAAGACACCAAUAAAAAUAAAGUUAACCAUGCAGAGUGCUAGAAGGUGAUAAUUAUAUGGAAAAAAUAUUAGCACGGGAUGAGAGAUGCCAUGUGAGGAGCAUGGCUGGAUGGCCCUGAGAAGGUGAUCCUGAGCGCAUCCUGCAGGACCAGUCUCAGGCAACCACGCAGAUAUGUGGAAAAGGCCCCUGGGGGACAGGAGCAGCCAGUGAGGAUGCUGGAGCAAGCACACCUGGAGAGAUUUCAGAACAGGAAGAAGGCCCAGGAGGCUGGGGAGGUGUGGCAGUGAACGGGAGCUAUGUGGGCCGCUGAUGGACUUGGGAGGAGAGAGAGAAGAUAAGGCUUUAUCUCUCUUGUAUCCCCAGCAUCUCCCUCUGGCACUGGUACCUGGCAAAUUCUCAGUGAUUUGUUUUCCCAGUGAAUGAAUGGGUGAACGACAUGAAUAGAAGAAAUGCCCAAGGUUGGCAGGUCCUCUGGCCUCACUCUCCUCCUGCGUUUGGCAAGCUCCACCACCAUAUUUUCUGGCUGCAUUCUUUGGAACAUUAGUUCCUGAUAUUCCAGGAGAAAGGUGCCAAGGUCAGAUAAGUUCAUUCGGUAGAUCCCUUAGUGUAGGUUCACAAAUCACCAUUAGUAUGCAAAAGUCUCAGAAAAAUUCUCCAGGGAAUGACAUGUUCUAACAGCAUUUGGAGAACUUAUUCAACCAUAGAACCCAUUUCUUCAUCCCGUUCAUUUUUCCUGAUCCUUCUGCUACUCCUCAGUCAGGAUUCUGUAGGACCUGUGUUGGGAAAUGAUGACCCAUGUGAAGUUAGAAGCCCCCCAAAAGACAACGCACCCACACUCCGCCAUCCCGCCUCCAUUUCUGCAUUUCUGGACCACUCUGAAGCUCAGACUCACUCUCCCUCCACUAUUGAGUGGAGUGAAAUCUACUGCCUUGGAAUUUCUGUCUCUUGACCCAAGCUUCACUCAUGGGACUGUAUGGAUUGCUCUUAGGUGUGGAAGUGUUAGUAGCUACAAAGGAACUUCUAGGGACAGUCACCUCCGCUUGAGGAGGCUGUGGGGAGCUGCUCUUCCUUUAAAUGACUGUUACAGCUGAGGCAUAAAGAUGGAAGGUUCGAGCCCAGCCUGGGCAACUUGGUGAGACCUUAUCUCAAAAUAAAAAAUAAAACGAAUUGGAGAUGUAGCUUAGUAGUAGAGCAACCAGGGAUCAAUUUCCAUGACCACAAACAAACGCUCCUUUAAGAUUUCAAGUUGUGUUUUCAGGUUUCCCAUAAGGUCCUCCAGUGGAACUGAUAAGGAACCAGCCAAAGUCACUGAGUCACUCUGAGUCACUCUUCUUAGGUGACCAGAAUAAACAUUAGAUUCCCCACCACGAGUAUUCUGUCCAACAUUGUUUUUGAACAUGCGAUGUAAGACUUCAAAUUGAGCAUGCCCGACAAGGUGCUCACCUUUACAUCUGAUGUAUGAGUCUCCCCAAUAAAAGCUCUUGCUUUCUUUCUUCCA